AUGCAAGUCGCACGAGAAAGCCUUGGCUUGCCAGGGCGAGUAAAGUGGCGCACGGGUGAGUAACGCGUGGGUAAUCUACCCCUGAAUUUGGGAUAACCCUUCGAAAGGGGGGCUAAUACCGGAUGACAUCGUAUUUUCUUAGGGGGAUGCGGUCAAAGGUAGCCUCUACAUGUAAGCUACUGUUUGGGGAUGAGCCCGCGUACCAUUAGCUAGUUGGUGGGGUAACGGCCCACCAAGGCCGCGAUGGUUAGCUGGUCUGAGAGGAUGAUCAGCCACACUGGAACUGACACACGGUCCAGACGCCUACGGGAGGCAGCAGUGAGGAAUUUUNCGCAAUGGGGGAAACCCUGACGCACCAACGCCGCGUGAGUGAUGNAGGCCUUCGGGUCGUAAANCUCUNUCAAGUGGGAAGAACCUNCGGAGGUCCAAUAGGCCUCUGUACUGACGGUACCACUAAAGGAAGCACCGGCUAACUCCGUNCCAACANCNNCGGUAAUACGGGGGUGCAAGCGUUAUUCGGAUUUACUGAGCGUAAAGCGCGCGCAGNCGGUUUUUUAAGUCGGAUGUGNAAGCCCUGGGCUCUACCCCGGAAGUGCAUUCGAUACUGGGAGACUUGAGUAUGGGAGAGNGAAGUGGAAUUCCUGGUGUAGAGGUGAAAUUCGUAGAUAUCAGGAGGAACACCGGUGNCGAAGGCGACUUCCUGGACCAAUACUGACGCUGAGGCGCGAAGGCGUGGGGAGCAAACAGGAUUAGAUACCCUGGUAG
rnacentral:rRNA from 1 species